AAACUGAGGAUAAUACUGGAUAGGCAAUUAUUCCUGUAAUGGUUUUUUGUUUAAAUGUUUUUUCGCCUAAGGAUGAGUCUGCGGCCGAUUAGGUAGUUGGUUAGGUAAUGGCUUACCAAGCCGUUGAUCGGUACGGGUUGUGAGAGCAAGAGCCCGGAGAUGGAACCUGAGACAAGGUUCCAGGCCCUACGGGGUGCAGCAGGCGCGAAACCUCCGCAAUGUGAGAAAUCGCGACGGGGGGAUCCCAAGUGCCAUUCUUAACGGGAUGGCUUUUCAUUAGUGUAAAGAGCUUUUGGAAUAAGAGCUGGGCAAGACCGGUGCCAGCCGCCGCGGUAACACCGGCAGCUCUAGUGGUAACAAUUUUUAUUGGGCCUAAAGCGUCCGUAGCCGGUUUAAUAAGUCUCUGGUGAAAUCCUGUAGCUUAACUGUGGGAAUUGCUGGAGAUACUAUUAGACUUGAGACCGGGAGAGGUUAGAGGUACUCCCAGGGUAGAGGUGAAAUUCUGUAAUCCUGGGAGGACCGCCUGUUGCGAAGGCGUCUAACUGGAACGGUUCUGACGGUGAGGGACGAAAGUUAGGGGGCGCGAACCGGAUUAGAUACCCGGGUAGUCCUAACUGUAAACGAUGCGGACUUGGUGUUGGGGUGGCUUUGAGCUGCUCCAGUGCCGAAGGGAAGCUGUUAAGUCCGCCGCCUGGGAAGUACGGUCGCAAGACUGAAACUUA
rnacentral:rRNA from 1 species